UACGAAGGUGGCAAGCGUUGUUCGGAUUUACUGGGCGUAAAGGGAGCGUAGGUGGUGCGGUAAGCCCUCCGGGAAAGCUUCAGGCUUAACCUGAAAAGGUCGGGGGGGGCUGCCACGCUAGAGGACGGGAGAGGAGCGCGGAAUUCCCGGUGUAGCGGUGAAAUGCGUAGAGAUCGGGAGGAAGGCCGGUGGCGAAGGCGGCGCUCUGGAACGUUUCUGACACUGAGGCUCGAAAGCGUGGGGAGCAAACAGG
rnacentral:rRNA from 1 species